AACAUUUCUUAUAGAUUUUUUUGUAAGUAAAGCCUGCCCACUGUAUAAAUGAAGGGCCGCGGUAUUUUGACCGUGCAAAGGUAGCAUAAUCAUUAGUCUCUUAAUUGGGGAAUGGAAUGAAUGGUUUAAUGAUUUAUUUCUAUUUUUUUAUUUAUUAUUUGUAAAUUUGAUUUUAAGUGAAAAUACUUAGUUUUUUUAAAUAGACGAUAAGACCCUAUAGAGUUUUAUUAUUAUUGUUUUAAAGAAAGCAAUAAUAAUUUAAUUGGGGCAAUUCUAGAAUAUAUUUAAUUUCUAAGUGUUUCUAUUUAAAAAUAUCUUUGUUUAUAGUUUAAUAAAACUACCUUAGGGAUAACAGCGUAAUUUUUAUUAAGAGUUCUUAUCGACAUAAUAGAUUGCGACCUCGAUGUUGAAUUAAAUUUCUUUAUAAUAGAAGAAUUUUAUAAAAAGUAGUCUGUUCGACUAUUAAAUUUUUACAUGAUUUGAGU
rnacentral:rRNA from 1 species